UGGGCGUGCGCGCGGCGGCGGGGGCCGCGGACGAGGGGCGGGAAGCGGAGCCGCGGUGGGCGGCCGGGCUGCCGGGCGGGUGUGCGUGCGGCCGAGGCGGAGGCCGGGAGGCAGCGCGGGCUGCGGGCGCUGAGCAUUAUGGAUCCAAGCCUGUUGAGAGACCGAGAGCUCUUCAAAAAAAGAGCUCUUUCCACCCCUGUGGUAGAAAAACGUUCUGUGCCUUCUGAGUUGCCCUCUGCCUCAUCCAAGAAGAAGAAAGCAAAAGUUGAACAUGGAGGGACAUCAGGCUCUAAACAAAAUGCAGAUCAUAACAAUGGAUCAUUUAACUUGAAAGCACUAUCAGGAAGCUCUGGAUAUAAGUUUGGUGUUCUUGCUAAGAUCGUGAAUUACAUGAAAACCCGGCAUCAGCGAGGAGACACACAUCCUUUAACUUUAGAGGAGAUUUUGGAUGAGACACAACACUUAGACAUUGGACUAAAGCAGAAACAAUGGCUAAUGACUGAGGCUUUAGUCAACAAUCCCAAAAUUGAAGUAAUAGAUGGGAAAUAUGCUUUCAAGCCAAAGUACAACCUGAAAGAUAAGAAGGCCCUCCUCAGGCUUCUGGAUAACCAUGACCAGCGAGGGUUAGGAGGGAUCCUAUUAGAAGACAUAGAAGAAGGGCUUCCUAAUUCCCAGAAAGCUGUCAAGGCUUUAGGGGACCAGAUACUUUUCGUAAAUCGUCCUGAUAAGAAGAAAAUACUUUUCUUCAAUGAUAAAAGCUGUCAGUUUUCUGUGGAUGAAGUGUUUUUGCUGGCAUAUAUGGUUUUGCAUCACUUGUAUGUCUGCCCACAGAGUCCAGAAGAUGGUAUUUACUGGAAAAAACCUGUUUUCUAGUUGGUGGCUCAGCCCUGGCAUACACAUAUAAUCCAAGAGCUUUCUGCUUAUUGUACAGAGGAUUAAAUAAAGUUAACCAUAGGCCAAGAGGCAGAGCAAGCAGCCAGUUGACAGGAAGAGAACAAGAGAAAACUAUAGAGAAUUAGAGUCGGGAGGUCGGAAGGAGAUUCACAGAAGCGAAGAGAGGAACAUUCAGUUUUGAGGAGUCUUUUUUGGGAUAGCACAGGAGGAGGCUUCUGAGACGCUGGCUAAGGAACAGGGUCAGCUGGGUGCUUUCUCUGCCUCUCUGAGCUAGCAGGCUUUCACCCCAGCAUCUGCUUCCUGAGUCUUUAUUGGUAAAAUCAAACGACUGAGAUUUUGUUAAAAACAAGAGGCAGACUGAGAAAGAAGUUUGCUUCUUUUAAGAUCUUUGCUAUUGCUUAUUUAUUUGAUAUACUGUGAAAUGUUUCCCUAGGUUUCUUAGUACUGAGCCGUGCUUACCACUUCUAGAAUGGAUUAACCUUGGAUUGCUGUCAGGUAUUUGUCUCGGUCUUUUUGUCUCCCAGAGCUGGAGAAGGAUUCUGCGCAGCUGAACCACUGCUCAGGUGUCUGUCUGGGCUUGGGAGCAGUCUAAGGAAAACAGUGAGAAUGUGGCGCACACCUUUAAUCCCAGCGCUCGGGAGGCAGAGGCAGGUGAAUCUCUAGUUCCAGAAACUGUGGAGGAGUGUCACUGUGGAUUCAAUGGAUGAGGAAAAAAUUGAAGAGUAUCUGAAACGACAGGGUAUUUCUUCCAUGCAGGAAUCUGGACCAAAGAAAGUG